UUGAGUCUGAAGGAAGCCAUGGUUGCCAGGGAAGACCAUUAGUCGAUUUCUUCCCUAUUGCUUUUCAAAUAUUUGCUGGGUUUUUAUUUUUGUUUUUCUCAUUGGAGAAAUUAGUACAUACUCAUUGUCAGUUAAUUUAGCAAUAGAGAUGAACAUAAGAAGCAAAAUUACUGCUUCCCUGGAGAUUCCCUGAGCACCUGGGAGAAUGGACAUUCCUGAGCGCAUCAGCACUUUUUGCCUGGGAAAAGAUGCUCCGCGUCUGGAAAGACACACCUGAGAGUGUGGCUUCAGGGAGGCCAUUUCUACUGGACUCAGAGAGUCCACGGUCCUGGGCCAGUUCACGGUGCAACACCCAGAUGGCUCUCACAUCUUGGUAACAACAGAGUUGCCUCAUGUUCUCCAGAAGCAAGAGGGGAAAUUUAUAGACCAAAAUCCUUUUUCUCUUACCCCAAAGUGAAGAUAUCGGAUGUUGGGCACUCAUCUGUGAGUUCCAAGCUGUCCUCAUGUGAUGGGGCAGAGUACACUUAGUGGACUGUUCAUGCGCAUGCUGUUGGACAGACUGGAAGACCUUAGCGCAGAUAAAACAAAACUUCACUGCUUCCAAUAACUAUGUCAAUAUGGUCUGAGCCAUCAGCACAUUUGUUCACUAGGACCAGCGAUGGGAAUCCUAGCCAAGAUGUGUGGGCUGAUUCGUGGUCUGACCAGAGCCACCUAAGGACAGGUUAAAGGGUGCUCUUGGCUCAGAGUAAAUACUGUUUUCAUCUGGCAGCCGGAACACUAAGUCCUAUGGGGAUAAAAAACAACAAUGACCUGCUUAGCUGUCAGCAACUGGAGGCGAGUGAAGGCAAACAGAAUCACAUGCCUCACCCUGCCUCAUUUCUGGUUUGCAUUCAUACUCUGUGUUCAAUAUCCAUUGUACUUCGGUUGCUGCUGUUGCAGCUCUUCCUUGGCCUAGUUGUCUGCUCUGUGUGUGUGUGUGUGUGUGUGUGUGUGUGUGUGUGUACACUGUCACUGUCUUCACACACACCAGAAGAGGACAUUGGAUCCCAUUACAGAUGGUUGUGAUCCACCGUGUGGUUGCUGAGAAUUAAAUUCAGGACCUCUAGUAGAGUAGUCAGUGCUCUCAACCGCUGAGCCAUCUCUCUACCCGGGAUUCUUGACCUCUGUCAGACACUACAUAUGGAGCAGCAUCGGGAACAGACGGACAUGCUUCAAGCUUCUGGAAGCUGGAAGCUCAAGAUGAAGAUUCAGGAAACUAGUGAGGACUGCUUUCUUCCCAAGAUGGUGCUUUGUGGGACCUCAGUUGGCAGACGAUGGAGGAGCAGAAGGACCACACUUUCUCUGUCAGACCACUUCACAAUCCAUUCAUGAACUUGAGCCCCUUAGCCUUACGACCUUCCCAAACUUUCUACCUUCAAGCACUGUCCCACUGGGGACCUGUUCUCUGUGCAUGGGUUUGAACACACAUUUAGGUCGCAUCAGGCACCAAGUAUUUCCUACCAAUCUGACAAACUAUAAUUAAGAGUGUGGACUUACAUUCCCAGCGUGACUUUGAGCAAGGCAUAUGUGGGUCUCAGUUUCAAGACUAAGAUGAGAGUAAGUUUAGAACUUAAGUCAUUGAGUUAUCAUGAGAAGGUAAAAGAAAGCCAAUGACCUUUAUAGUGAUCAAUAAAGGAAGCUGAGGGCAGGAGAUCCCAGGGAGGGAAGGCUAUUGAAGUUCUGUGCAUAGUAACGAGGUGCCAGGUAGGUCUCUGUGCACAUGCUAAUGAAGGAUAAAGGUAUAGGGGUGGGGGGAGGAAAGUAGAUGCUCAUAUAUGUGCCAGUAGACAGGAAAGACAGUUCCUGUAAUUCAGUGCAUGUCCAAUUUCCUCAUGAGGCACUAUCAGUUUCUUCUUCAACUGGUUAGUAGAACCUGUUAGCCAAAGCACAACCUGACCUUUUAAUAUUUCUGAUACAAGUGCUGUCUGAAGGAGGAAGUACCUCUUUCACAGUCAGAAAUUAUUUAAUUCCUGCCUGGCAUUAGAACACUUGUGCCUGAUAUACCUGUAGCAGAUAUUAGCUUUUAAUACUUGUUACUAAAUAUUCCUGAAGCUGUACUCUUACACCACCCCAGGAAUUUCACUCCUGAAUCCCCCACCUCCCUCUCUUCUUUCCCUCCUCCCUCCCUCCUAAAUGAUUCUUUACAGCAUUCAAGAACUUCCAUAAUACAAAGUCUUCUCUUUGAUUUUGUGAAAGCAAAGAUGGAACAUAGAUUUAUAAUUAUUUUGAAAACUCAGCAGAGAAACACUGUCUUAAACAAAUAAAUAAACAAAUAAAGAAUGCCAAAAUUUCAAGUUUUGGCAGUCCCCAAUAAGGAUGUAGAACUGACUCUUAAAUAUGAAGACAUCUUCAAUCUCACUAAAAAGAAUGUAUAUUGAAACAAUAUUGGGUCUAUUUCCAACUUAUCAGAAUAGUAAAGUCAGAAGACUGAUGGUCCUAAAUUGAUGAGGUAGUUCCAUAUUGCUAGUGGAAUAUCAUAGACAUAAAUUUGGUGAAGAAUUAUUACCAAAGUCCUAACUGUCCAUACACUUUCAUUUAGCAAAAUUCUAUAUCUAAAAAUUUAUUCUGUAUAUUAUGCUGAUACAGUUCCAAAAUGAUACAGGCAUAAGAUUGUUCAUUGCUUAUAAAUGAAAACAACAACAACAACCCAAUAGGUAUAAACAUGACCUCCACAGUAGGAAAUAAAUCAACCUGACACUUC
rnacentral:lncRNA from 1 species